rnacentral:rRNA from 1 species
AUUGAACGCUGGCGGCAGGCCUAACACAUGCAAGUCGAGCGGGGUUUUCGGACCUAGCGGCGGACGGGUGAGUAAUGCGUAGGAAGCUGCCCGAUAGAGGGGGAUACCAGUUGGAAACGACUGUUAAUACCGCAUAAUGUCUACGGACCAAAGUGUGGGACCUUCGGGCCACAUGCUAUCGGAUGCGCCUACGUGGGAUUAGCUAGUUGGUGAGGUAAUGGCUCACCAAGGCGACGAUCUCUAGCUGGUUUGAGAGGAUGAUCAGCCACACUGGAACUGAGACACGGUCCAGACUCCCACGGGAGGCAGCAGUGGGGAAUAUUGGACAAUGGGCGCAAGCCUGAUCCAGCCAUGCCGCGUGUGUGAAGAAGGCCUUCGGGUUGUAAAGCACUUUCAGUAGGGAGGAAGGGUGUUGUGUUAAUAGCACAGCAUUUUGACGUUACCUACAGAAGAAGCACCGGCUAACUCUGUGCCAGCCGCCGCAGUAAGAC